UGGGGAAUUUUGGACAAUGGGCGAAAGCCUGAUCCAGCAAUGCCGCGUGUGUGAAGAAGGCCUUCGGGUUGUAAAGCACUUUUGUCCGGAAAGAAAUCCUUGGCUCUAAUACAGUCGGGGGAUGACGGUACCGGAAGAAUAAGCACCGGCUAACUACGUGCCAGCAGCCGCGGUAAUACGUAGGGUGCAAGCGUUAAUCGGAAUUACUGGGCGUAAAGCGUGCGCAGGCGGUUUGCUAAGACCGAUGUGAAAUCCCCGGGCUCAACCUGGGAACUGCAUUGGUGACUGGCAGGCUAGAGUAUGGCAGAGGGGGUAGAAUUCCACGUGUAGCAGUGAAAUGCGUAGAGAUGUGGAGGAAUACCGAUGGCGAAGGCAGCCCCCUGGGCCAAUACUGACGCUCAUGCACGAAAGCGUGGGGAGCAAACAGGAUUAGAUACCCUGGUAGUCCACGCCCUAAACGAUGUCAACUAGUUGUGGGGAUUCAUUUCCUUAGUAACGUAGCUAACGCGUGAAGUUGACCGCCUGGGGAGUACGGUCGCAAGAUUAAAACUCAAAGGAA
rnacentral:rRNA from 1 species